rnacentral:rRNA from 1 species
UACGGAGGGGGCUAGCGUUGUUCGGAAUUACUGGGCGUAAAGCGCGCGUAGGCGGACCUGCAAGUCGGGGGUGAAAGCCCGAGGCUCAACCUCGGAACUGCCUUCGAUACUGCGGGUCUCGAGUCCGGGAGAGGUGAGUGGAAUUCCUAGUGUAGAGGUGAAAUUCGUAGAUAUUAGGAAGAACACCAGUGGCGAAGGCGGCUCACUGGCCCGGUACUGACGCUGAGGGCGCGAAAACGUGGGGAGCAAACAGGAUUAGAUACCCGGG